UACGAAGGGGGCUUGCGUUGCUCGGCAUCACUGGGCGUAAAGCGCACGUAGGCGGAUUCUUAAGUCAGAGGUGAAAUCCUGGAGCUCAACUCCAGAACUGCCUUUGAUACUGGGGACCUUGAGUCCGGGAGAGGUGAGUGGAACUGCGAGUGGAGAGGUGAAAGGCGUAGAUAUUCGCAAGAACACCAGUGGCGAAGGCGGCUCACUGGCCCGGUACUGACGCUGAGGUGCGAAAGCGUGGGGAGCAAACAGG
rnacentral:rRNA from 1 species